GUUGAACGCUGGCGGCGUGCCUAACACAUGCAAGUCGAGCGAACGGACGAGAAUUUUGCUUUUCUGCAGCUAGCGGCGGGUGGGUGAUUAAUAGGUGGAUAACCGACCUAUAAGACUGGGGUAAGUUCGGGAAACCUGAUCUAACACCCGUCAAUAUUUUGAACCGCAUGGUUCAUAAGUGAAAGACGGUCUUGCUGUCCCUUAUAGAUGUAUCCGGGCUGGAUUAGCUAGUUGGUAAGGUAACGGCUUACCAAGGCAACGAUGCAUAGCCGACCUGAGAGGAUGAUCAGCCACACUGGAACUGAGACACGGUCCAGACUCCUACGGGAGGCAGCAGUAGGGAAUAUUGCACAAUGGGCGAAAGCCUGACGGAGCAACGCCGCGUGAGUGAAGAAGGUCUUCGGAUCGUAAAGCUCUGUUAUUAGGGAGGAACAGCUGUAUGAGUAUAUCUGGAUGUCUUGACGGUACCUAAACAGAAAGCCACGGCUAACUUCGUG
rnacentral:rRNA from 1 species